GAAGGGUGCAAACGUUGCUCGGAAUCAUUGGGCGUAAAGCGCACGUAGGCGGCCUGUUAAGUCGGAUGUGAAAUCCCUCGGCUCAACCGAGGACGUGCACCCGAAACUGGCGGGCUCGAGUAUGGAAGAGGGUCGCAGAAUUCCCGGUGUAGAGGUGAAAUUCGUAGAUAUCGGGAGGAAUACCAGUGGCGAAGGCGGCUACCUGGACCGGUUCUGACACUGAUGCGCGAAAGCGUGGGUAGCAAACAGGAUUAGAUACCCUGGUAGUCCACGCUGUAAACGAUGGGUGCUCGGUGUCGCGGGUAUCGACCCCUGCGGUGCCUUAGCUAACGCGUUAAGCACCCCGCCUGGGGAGUACGGUCGCAAGGCUG
rnacentral:rRNA from 1 species